AUUAUAAAACAGAGCAGACUUUUGUCUACUCAUACAAAUAUGAGCACCCUUUCAGCCGUUGAUUUGCAAAUUCAAUAGGUUACGAUCGUUGCAUUGAAAAUUGAUACAAACAUGAAAAUCUAUAUUACGAUCAUUGCAUUUUUCUCCAUCGUGCUUCCUCUCUCCCUCCCUCCCUCCCUCUCCCCUUCCUCUCUCUCUCCCACUCCUCUCUCCUGUUCGCUCCUGUUGCCACACCACCACCCAACCCAGCGACCACCCUCCAGCCGUUGUCAACGCCAUUUCCGAAAACCCCAGCGACCACAAGGACGCUGCCCACGAUUGAAAACAGUGGCUUCCACGUGUUCGAUGGAAUGCUUCAAUUAGGUUCUUAUUCACCCAACCCAGCGACCACCCUCCAGCCGUUGUCAACGCCAUUUCCGAAAACCCCAGCGACCACAAGGACGCUGCCCACGAUUGAAACAGGUAAACCAUUCAUUCUCGCCCUAAUAAUCUUCCUUAUUUUCUGACGUUACUUUGAUCCUAAUAAAAAUCUGUUUACCCUCUUUGCUUUCCAACUGUAAUUGGAAAAUUUGGCUUGAAAAACAUAAUGCUUCAGUGGCUUCCACGUGUUCGAUGGAAUGCUUCAAUUAGGUUCUUAUUCUUCCCUCAAUUGCUUUCCAAGUAUUUGAUAAAAUCUCCAACUGUAAUUGGAAAAUUUGGCUUAAAAAAUAUAAUGCUUCAGUGGCUUCCACGUGUUCGAUGGAUUGCUUCAAUUAGGAUCCCAGUAUAGUUUAACAGAAGGGAUUGAGUUUAACAUAACUGGCUGUACCUUUAUAAGACUGUAAUUAUCUGGAAUGCCACGAAGAUAAAUAUAGGUAACUGGCAGAUGGGAAAAGUGUAAAAUCCCUUUGUUAAUUUUGGUUCUAGCUUGAGAGUGAGAAAUGAAGAAACCACAAAUGAUGAAACUUAAUUCUGACCUCUCCUCAGCAUCCGACUCAGCCAGCUAAAUCUCUAGGAAUCUUGAUCGAGAACGAUUUUGCUGAUGAUGGGGUUUUCCCGCUUGCGAACAUCACAAGCUGUGAUCAACUCAAGAGUUUCUCUUUGACUUGAUUCUGGGUUAUGCUUGGGAAAUAACAACUGCUGAAGGUGGCUAUGGUCUAGAUGAACUCUUAGGUAGUCGAAAGAGUGUUCUGACCGAAAUACAAAAUACCCAAGCAUCUCCCCAAGGUCAAAGUGAUAGCAAUCUAACUCAAGGCUUCAUGACUCCCAAAUUUUGUUGAUUGAGGACGAAUCGAACAUUGCGCUCACCCCAGCAACAAGAACUGCCAAGGGCAACGGAAUCCUACAGAAUAUUUGCCAUCCAAUCACCUUUAAACAGUUGGAAGCACCGUAACUUAAGAAGUUGGGCUGCCCGCGGAAUAGAACAUGCUGCUCAGUCGUAUCUAGCUGCAUCAACAUUUGAUUCUCAAUGCAUUUGUGUAGGCAAAUACAGGAUGAGGUUGAAAUAUGAGAAUUGAUUGCUUAUUGAUCAUGUUGGCCAUCGUUGCUGUUGGGAAAGUCGUUCGGCUCAAACCUGGAAAAUUCAGGCAGUGGAAGACUGCAAUGUCUUAGUUGAAACUUUAGAGACUUUCAUCGAGGAGAGGGAAGCAGUUACAGAAAUAUAGCUGUUCCUUGGAGGCAACAUUGAUGGAAAGGAUAAGGGUUUUGAACUUGCAAUCUGGGAGUUGGAUUUAAGAUCUGAAUUGCCUAUUUUAUUUAUACCUCAAAGAAUCGCGAUCAGAAUGCGUUGCGCUGUGCCGCCUUCAGGCACGGGCAUGCACUAGAAAUUGUAUUCAAUUUUCGUUGUAUAUCUAAAGGAGUGUGGUGCUGCUCUUUCUUAGAAAUUGUAUCUUAAAAAUGUUGAAGCUGUAAAUUGGUAGCUGUAAAUUGUAUCUAAAGGGUUCUGUUAUUGUUGCUGUGUUGUGGGAAAAAUGUUUAAACCACGUGCGUUUUUGCC